rnacentral:lncRNA from 1 species
GGGAUCUGCCGCUCUGUGGUCCAGUUGGUCAUCUGCAGGUGCAGUCUCCAGCAAACGAUCACAAGCUCUUUAAGAUGUGCCUGGGCUUGGGGGGACCUGUCUCGCGGGCUUUUGUGGAACCUUCAAUUCCUGGAUUGUAAAGCAGGGCUGCAGGUCUCCUGGGAUGAGCUCCAGCCAAGAGAUUUCUCACCCUUAAAUAAAAGGGCACGCAGUGGCAUGGAACCACGCUGACACCUAUCACUGUUAAACGAGGCCAGGACACAGUCUGAUCUCCAUCUCCACUUUUUGUUGUUGUUAAAUGAAACGGAAGAGCAUCUCCCUGCAGAAGUAAACCACGCACAGAGCCCUAAUGACAUCAUUGCUUCAGCCCCUGGAUCCAGCCAGGCCUGAAGCAGGAUAACCCUGGACUUCCCAGUGAGUGCAUGUAAGGAAAACGACUCCAAAGUGCUGACUUCAGUCCCUGGGACUCCCUCGCUGCAGGAUGAAGCUGGAGGAGGCUGCAGAGGAGGCAGCCUGACGUCAAGCACACAGCUCACCUCGGAGCUCUGCCUGUCCAGAUGGCCUGAUCCUCAUGUCCCCACCUGGCCUGCUGACUCCCUCCUGGCUGAAGGGUGGAAAUGAAUCCUUGUACGGAAUAAGCCUCUCCGGCCCGACCUGGGAAUGAGUAACAGCUUAGCUGGUGACCUUUGCCCUGGGACGACAGCUCUGGACAGCUGCAGGAGGCUUCGUUGGGAUGGGGGUGGCCCAUUGUGGGGUGCCUGGCAGGAGUCUCUGAGCCAUGUCUUUAGAAGGUACGAGUGCAGGACACAGUUCUUUUGUGGUCUGAGAUCUGUGCUUAGGCAGAGAACUGUGUCCAGAGAGUCAGGCUGUAAAGUGGGGAGCCUCCCGUGAGGGCUGCAGCAUUCCCGUGCAGAUCCCUAAUUUCCAAUCUGGACUCUAGAAGACUUUGGUUCUCUUCCUGGCUCUGGCCUCUGCUGGGACCCUGGAGGUGUCUCCUUUCUCCUUCAAGUUUUUCAUCAGCAAUGCCAGGAUUUGGUAAUGACAUGAGUCCCUCCUGGCUCAGAUAGCCCAGCAUCACUGUCACCCUGGGAUCCCUUUGCUGACAUCCCAGUCCCAGACCAGUAACUGCAGCUCAGAGUACCUGAGGCUCCCCAGCUGUUUCCACGGCUUCCCUGUGCCUCAACCCUUAUGACCUUGUUAUUCCCCAGAAAUUCUGCAGCAUGGCAGGCUGGGCUCCCCGCUCCCUGGGGGAGCCUUGUGCUGUGUCACUUCCUCAGACCCCUGCCUGAGCCUGUCCCCUUGUGGGGGACCAGAGUGUAUACCUCACCUGAGCUAGCUUUCUGUUGCUGCUAUACAUAUUACCACAAACUUAGUGGCUUAGAACCCCACACUGUAUUAUCUUACAGUUCUGGAGGGUCAGAAGUUUGACACAAGUCUCACUGGCCUAAAACCAAGGUGCUGGCAGGUCUGACUCCUUCUGAAGGCUCUAGGGGUAUAUUAGUCUAUUCUCAUGCUGCUUAUAAAGACAUACCCGAGACUGGGUAAUUUAUAAAGAAAAAGAGGUUUAAUGGACUCGCAGUUCCAUAUGGCUGGGGAGGCCUCACAAUUAUGGUGGAAGGCAAAGGAAGAGCAAAGGGAUGUCUUACAUGGCAACAGGCAAGAGAACUUGUACAGGGGAACUCCCAUUUAUAAAACCAUCAGAUCUUGUGAGACUUAUUCACUACCAUGAGAACAGCAUGGGAAAGGCCCACCCCCAUGAUUCAAUUACCUCCCACUGGGUCCUUCCCACGACAUGCGGGGAUUAUGGGAGCUACAAUUCAAGAUGAGAUUUGGAUGGGGACAUAGCCAGUCCAUAUCAAGGGGAGAACCCACUUCCUUGCCUUUUCCAACUUCUAGAGGCUGCCUGCAUUCCUUGGCUCAUGGCCCUUUCCUCCAUCUUCAAAGCCAGCUUUGGGGCUCUGUCACCCUUCUUGUAUUGCAUUUCUAACCCACUCUGCCACCUCCUCCACUUCUAAGGACUCAUGGGUUAGGUUGGGCCCAUCUGGAUAAUGCCACAUAAUCUCCUCAUUUCAAAGCCUUAACUUUCUUCACAUCUGCAAGUCCUGUGAUCAUGUAAGGACACCUUUUCAUGGGUUCUAGGGAUUAGGCUGGGGAUAGUUUUGCCGGGAGCAUUCUUCUGCCUACCACCCCACCCAAUCUGAGGCUUGGGGUUUGCGCAGGGCACCAUGAUAGUUUUCCUCUGGGGUCUCAGCUCAGGUGCUAGAAGGGCACCUCCUCUCUGGAACCCUCUGUGAUUGCACCAGGCAGAGGCAACUGCCCUUCCUCUGGCAACCACCACCCCCAGCACACUUGUCAUGCUUGUGUGACAGUGCCUGUGGGUAGGUCUCCCCUGUUAAUUGGGAACAAGUGGGUAGUGUCAGGCCUCUGAGCCCAAGCUAAGCCAUCAUAUCCCCUGUGACCAGCAUGUAUACAUCCAGAUGGCCUGAAGCAACUGAAGAUCUACAAAAGAAGUGAAAAUAGCCUUAACUGAUGACAUUCCACCAUUGUGAUUUGUUUCUGCCCCACCCUAACUGAUCAAUGUACUUUGUAAUCUCCCCCACCCUUAAGAGGGUUCUUUGUAAUUCUCCCCACCCUUGAGAAUGUACUUUGUGAGAGCCACCCUCUGCCCGAAAAACAUUGCUCCUAACUCCACCGCCUAUCCCAAAACCUAUAAGAACUAAUGAUAAUCCCACCACCCUUUGCUGACUCCUUUUUCGGACUCAGCCCCCCCGCACCCAGGUGAAAUAAAC